rnacentral:rRNA from 1 species
GCUGGCGGCAUGCUUAACACAUGCAAGUCGCACGGGCAGGGGUAACUCUGUCAGUGGCGGACGGGUGAGUAACGCGUAGGUAUCUAUCCUCGGGUGGGGGACAACCACGGGAAACUGUGGCUAAUACCGCAUGAUGACUGAGGUCCAAAGGCGCAAGUCGCCUGGGGAGGAGCCUGCGUCCGAUUAGCUUGUUGGUGGGGUAAAGGCCUACCAAGGCUCCGAUCGGUAGCUGGUCUGAGAGGAUGAUCAGCCACACUGGGACUGAGACACGGCCCAGACUCCUACGGGAGGCAGCAGUGGGGAAUAUUGGACAAUGGGCGAAAGCCUGAUCCAGCAAUGCCGCGUGGGUGAAGAAGGUCUUCGGAUUGUAAAGCCCUUUCGACGGGGACGAUGAUGACGGUACCCGUAGAAGAAGCCCCGGCUAACUUCGUGCCAGCAGCCGCGGUAAUACGAAGGGGGCUAGCGUUGCUCGGAUUGACUGGGCGUAAAGGGCGCGUAGGCGGUUCGUACAGUCAGACGUGAAAUUCCUGGGCUCAACCUGGGGGCUGCUGUUUGAUAC